AUUUUUUUACUUAAUAUGAAAAAGAAAAAACUUAAGUCUUUACUGGUCAUUCACGUAAGGCAAAGGAAAUACCCUUUAAAAACUCAGGCAAGCUGAGUGUGGUGGCACAUGCCUUUAAUCCCAGCACUUGGGAGGCAGA
rnacentral:snoRNA from 1 species